GGAGCAUCCUCAGCUCAGUGGCAGAGCAUCUGUUUGGCAUGCAGAAGGUCCUCAGGUUCAAGCCCUGGCAUCUCCA
rnacentral:tRNA from 1 species